CACAAGCGGUGGAGCAUGUGGUUUAAUUCGAUGAUACGCGAGGAACCUUACCUGGGCUCAAAUGUAUGUUGACGUAUUCUGAAAGGGAUACUUCUUCGGACAAUAUACAAGGUGCUGCAUGGUUGUCGUCAGCUCGUGCCGUGAGGUGUCGGGUUAAGUCCCAUAACGAGCGCAACCCCUAUCAUUAGUUGCCAUCAGGUCAAGCUGGGGACUCUAAUGAAACUGCCUACGCAAGUAGUGAGGAAGGUGGGGAUGACGUCAAAUCAGCACGGCCCUUACGGCCUGGGCUACACACGUGCUACAAUGGUCGGUACAAAGGGUUGCCAAGCCGCGAGGUGGAGCUAAUCCCAUAAAACCGAUCGUAGUCCGGAUCGCAGUCUGCAACUCGACUGCGUGAAGUCGGAAUCGCUAGUAAUCGUGAAUCAGAAUGUCACGGUGAAUACGUUCCCGGGCCUU
rnacentral:rRNA from 1 species